ACGAAUUCAAGACUCUGCAACAAUUCUCGAGCCUUGACAUCAUUCACUUGAACUCAAGCCGAAUGCUAAUGGAACAGAACAGGACCAACCAGACGGAGGAAAGAACAAAUAAAAGAAAAGAAAAUGAGAACAACCCAGAAGACAGAAUCAAGAAAGGAAGUAGAAUUUGAUGACCAAGCUCCGUGAGAACAGGUGGUUCACGGUUCUUGAGCUGACCACGGUAUGGCGCAGAACAGAACUAUGAGCUACUACAGAUCUGACUAGGGAUUAAGGAGGAGGAGGAGGAGGAGUAGCUUCCUCUCUCAGUAGCUUCUGGGUUGUUGGAAGAGAGAAAAUUUCAAGAAAAUUAUAGAAAGGGAAGAGUGAAAGAGAGGUGGGUGUGUGUUUCUUUUGUUUCUAAUGAUGUGGGAUAACAAGUCACAAGAAAUUUUAGAGAGAGAAGUGUGUUUCUUCCUCUCUCUAUCAAGAGUCUACGAUGCAAACUCUCUUGCACUAGUCAGUGUUUUUCUUUUUC
rnacentral:lncRNA from 1 species